CCUACGGGGCGCAGCAGUGGGGGAUAUUGCACAAUGGGGGAAACCCUGAUGCAGCGACGCCGCGUGGGUGAAGAAGCGCCUCGGCGCGUAAAGCCCUGUCAGCAGGGAAGAAAAUGACGGUACCUGAAGAAGAAGCCCCGGCUAACUACGUGCCAGCAGCCGCGGUAAUACGUAGGGAGCGAGCGUUGUCCGGAUUUACUGGGUGUAAAGGGUGCGUAGGCGGCCCUGCAAGUCAGAAGUGAAAUCCAUGGGCUUAACCCGUGAACUGCUUUUGAAACUGCAGGACUUGAGUGGAGUAGAGGUAG
rnacentral:rRNA from 1 species